AAUUCGAUGCAACGCGAAGAACCUUACCUGGGCUUGACAUCCCAACGAAUCCCCUGGAAACAGGGAGUGCCUUCGGGAGCUUGGAGACAGGUGCUGCAUGGCUGUCGUCAGCUCGUGUCGUGAGAUGUUGGGUUAAGUCCCGCAACGAGCGCAACCCUUGCCUUUAGUUGCCAUCAUUCAGUUGGGCACUCUAGAGGGACUGCCGGUGUCAAACCGGAGGAAGGUGGGGAUGACGUCAAGUCCUCAUGGCCUUUAUGCCCAGGGCUACACACGUGCUACAAUGGGCGGUACAAAGAGCAGCGAGCUCGCGAGAGUAAGCAAAUCUCAAAAAGCCGUCCUCAGUUCGGAUUGGAGUCUGCAACUCGACUCCAUGAAGUUGGAAUCGCUAGUAAUCGUGGAUCAGCAUGCCACGGUGAAUACGUUCCCGGGCCUU
rnacentral:rRNA from 1 species